rnacentral:rRNA from 1 species
GAUGAACGCUAGCUACAGGCUUAACACAUGCAAGUCGAGGGGCAGCAUGAACUUAGCUUGCUAAGUUUGAUGGCGACCGGCGCACGGGUGAGUAACACGUAUCCAACCUGCCGAUGACUCGGGGAUAGCCUUUCGAAAGAAAGAUUAAUACCCGAUGGCAUAGUUCUUCCGCAUGGUAGAACUAUUAAAGGAUUUCGGUCAUCGAUGGGGAUGCGUUCCAUUAGGUUGUUGGCGGGGUAACGGCCCACCAAGCCUUCGAUGGAUAGGGGUUCUGAGAGGAAGGUCCCCCACAUUGGAACUGAGACACGGUCCAAACUCCUACGGGAGGCAGCAGUGAGGAAUAUUGGUCAAUGGACGAGAGUCUGAACCAGCCAAGUAGCGUGAAGGAUGACUGCCCUAUGGGUUGUAAACUUCUUUUAUACGGGAAUAAAGUGAGGCACGUGUGCCUUUUUGUAUGUACCGUAUGAAUAAGGAUCGGCUAACUCCGUGCCAGCAGCCGCGGU